GACGAAGGAUGCAAGCGUUAUCCGGAUUCAUUGGGUUUAAAGGGAGCGUAGGCGGCCUUGUAAGUCAGUGGUGAAAUCUCGCAGCUUAACUGCGAAACUGCCAUUGAUACUGCAGGGCUUGAGUACAGAUGCUGUGGGCGGAAUAUGACAUGUAGUGGUGAAAUACAUAGAGAUGUCAUAGAACACCGAUUGCGAAGGCAGCUCACAAAACUGUAACUGACGCUGAAGGCGCGAAAGCGUGGGGAGCAAACAGG
rnacentral:rRNA from 1 species